GACGAACGCUGGCGGCGUGCCUAAUACAUGCAAGUAGAACGCUGAAGCGAGGAGCUUGCUCUUCUUGGGUGAGGUGCGAACGGGUGAGUAACGCGUAUGUAACCUCCCUUGUAGCGGGGGAUCACUAUUGGACACGGUCGCUAAUACCGCAUAACCAUGGGUGACACAUUUCGUUUUUUUGAAAUUGGCAAUUUCUCCACUACAAGAUGGACCUUCGUUGUAUUAGCUAGUAGGUGCGGUAAUGGCGCACUUAGGCGUCGAAACAUAGCCGACCUGAGCGGACGGUCAGCCACACUGGGAGGGGGACACGGCACAGAGUCACACGGGAGGCAGCAGGACGGAAUCGUCGGGAAUGGGGGCGAAACUGACCGAGAAAGGCCGAGUGAGGGAAGAAGGUUUUCGGGUCGGAAAGGUCUGUUGUCGGGCAAGAACGGGCGUGCGAGUGGAAAGUACACACAGUGACGGUAACUGACAAGAAAGGAACGGCUAACUACGUG
rnacentral:rRNA from 1 species